AACGAACGCUGGCGGCAUGCCUAACACAUGCAAGUCGAACGAGACCUUCGGGUCUAGUGGCGCACGGGUGCGUAACGCGUGGGAACCUGCCCUUAGGUUCGGAAUAACUCCCCGAAAGGGGUGCUAAUACCGGAUAAUGUCUUCGGACCAAAGAUUUAUCGCCUUUGGAUGGGCCCGCGUUGGAUUAGCUAGUUGGUAGGGUAAAAGCCUACCAAGGCGACGAUCCAUAGCUGGUCUGAGAGGAUGAUCAGCCACACUGGGACUGAGACACGGCCCAGACGCAUACUGGAGGCAGCAGUGGGGAAUAUUGGACGAUGGGCUAAAGCUUGAUCCAGCAAUGCCGCGUGAGUGAUGAAGGCCUUAGGGUUGUAAAGCUCUUUUACCCGCGAUGAUAAUGACAGUACCGAGAGAAUAAGCUCCGGCUAACUCC
rnacentral:rRNA from 1 species